UUGAACGCUGGCGGCAUGCCUUACACAUGCAAGUCGAACGGCAGCACGGGAGCAAUCCUGGUGGCGAGUGGCGAACGGGUGAGUAAUAUAUCGGAACGUGCCCAGUAGUGGGGGAUAGCCCGGCGAAGGCCGGAUUAAUACCGCAUACGACCUGAGGGUGAAAGCGGGGGAUCGCAAGACCUCGCGCUAUUGGAGCGGCCGAUAUCAGAUUAGCUAGUUGGUGGGGUAAAGGCCUACCAAGGCUACGAUCUGUAGUUGGUCUGAGAGGACGACCAGCCACACUGGGACUGAGACACGGCCCAGACUCCUACGGGAGGCAGCAGUGGGGAAUUUUGGACAAUGGGCGCAAGCCUGAUCCAGCAAUGCCGCGUGCAGGAAGAAGGCCUUCGGGUUGUAAACUGCUUUUGUACGGAACGAAAAGACUCCUUCUAAUAAAGGGGGUCCAUGACGGUACCGUAAGAAUAAGCACCGGCUAACUACGU
rnacentral:rRNA from 1 species